rnacentral:lncRNA from 1 species
UCAGAUGUCCAGUGGGAACGUCUUUGCAGCUGCUCAUGGCAGCUCCAGGGUCAAUGGUAUUCCCAGACACAGCAGCACAGCACUCCAGGUGGAAACAGAGGAAGAAAGAGAGGUGUCCCUUGCAGUUUUGAAUCCCUUCUCUUCCUCAAAUCAGUGUCAGGAGUCAACAGGUGUGUAGAGCACAGCUCCACACAGGAAGCAUGAGACAGUGGUGCUGGGACACGACAGGAGGUGAUGAGCAUUUUCAGAAGAGCUCAUGCUAUGAGUGCUGAGAUCCCACUAGUAUAGGAAAUCCUGGUGCCUGUCAGGAUGUAGGUGACUGUCGACAGAAGUUAAAUAGGUAGAGAAGCAGAGGCAAGCAGAGCUCUGUACGAUUGAGG